rnacentral:rRNA from 1 species
UACGUAUGGUGCAAGCGCUAUCCGGAUUUACUGGGUGUAAAGGGAGCGUAGGCGGCGCGUUAAGUCUGAUGUGAAAACCCGAGGCUCAACCACGGGAGUGCAUUGGAAACUGGCGUGCUGGAGUGCCGGAGAGGUAAGCGGAAUUCCUAGUGUAGCGGUGAAAUGCGUAGAUAUUAGGAGGAACACCAGUGGCGAAGGCAGCUUACUAGACGGCAACUGACGCUGAGGCUCGAAAGCGUGGGGAGCAAACAGG